CCACUUUUUUUACUUUUCUCUCCUUUUUUAUGUUCAUUUCUUUUAGUCACCAAAAAUGCUGAGAUGGAGGACUUUACUAUUAAAUGAGAUGGAUGUCUUUACUGUUGAAUGAGAUAAGUGUGAAUCUAUGAGCAAAACGUCAUCUUUUUUAAAGAAACAUGAAUAUUUGGUAAUUUAAGUUGAGUUUGUUUCGGGCUGCAACAUCAAAAGCUGAGAAGAUUAGUAAUUCGGGAAAAAUAUCAAACAAUCUUGUGAAUGGGAGUCGUGGUAAGUUUUGUUUCCGGUGUCAUUGUUUCAUGUUUUAUUAUUUUGCUUAUUAUCGUCAUUUUUCUUUCGUAUUUGGUUUACAUGUUCUUCCAAGUUGAAGGUUAUUAUUAUUGUUAUAUUUUUCUAAUUGUCUACUUGUCACAUAUGUUGAGGCUACCGAGUUUCAUAAUUCAUUUGUCUCAUGUAAUGUGCCCAAUAUUCUUAAUCUUAUUCUUAAUUACUAAAUGACCUUUUUGUACUUGACUCUUUUACGAAUAGAUUAGACCCAUACUCCCCUCAAUGAUGUUGUAGCUAAUUUAGCUGUGUUUGAAUUACUUUCUUCAAGAUAAAUUGAGGUUGGUUGAUUCGAUCUUGAAUUUCACAUUAAGCAAUAUUGAAAGGAUCAUUUUCAUUUACGAUCUAUAUUUUAUGAGUAAAUAAAUUAAUGGAUGCUUCUUAACUAACUAUUGUAAUGAAUCCUAUUCCCAUCCUCGAAAAACUUCAAAAGUUCAGUUGGCGUGUUCAUCUCGAUCAAUGGUUGUUUUUUGUAGGGAAUAAUCCAUAAUUCUUUGUGGGGGAAGGGAGGGUGUUAGAUUAGAACUUAGAACCAUACUAAAAUUUAAUUAAUUUGUGUGUGCAAAUCCCAAUUAGAAAGCUUUACAUUUUUAUGCUACAAUUUUGUUUUUAUUAGGUGAAAAUUUGAUCUGUCCUCCAUGCUAAUUUAGAAAUGUUCAUGUAUAGUAGGUUAUAGAAUACUUUCUGGAUGCAAAAACAUUCUAGUUGAAAUUUAUUUGCCCAAAGAACAAAAAUAGUGUAGAAUUCUUGAGAUCCUAAUUGAUGCAGAUAAUCUCCCAGUUGAGUUUGGAAGUAAAGCCAUACUGCAGUACAACCACCAGGAUAUAGCUUGAGAACAAUUUAAAACCAACAGAUUGACAUCGACUUCAAUAGAGAGCCAAUUGGUGCAAGCAAAGAUAGUAAAGAUGUCAAUUUUAAGGAUAUACGGCCAUCGUCUAAAAAAAUUGCAUAGGUAUGCAUGUAUAUUGCACUAAAUGCCCAUUUGCAAAAAGGGAAUAUCAAAUUGUGAAGUAAUAUGAAAAUUAUAUGUUUGUAGUGGUUCAAUCCAGUGUAUUGCCUAUAUGUUCAAAGGUAUAUAUGAAUCUAUCACAAAGGGUAAUGCCAUGUGGAAUCAGUUAUCAGUACCAAUUGCCAAGCACUGUUACUUGUUACCCAUUUUUG